rnacentral:tRNA from 1 species
GGGGGUGUAGCCCAGCGACAGAGUGUUUGUCUAGCAAAUAGAAGGUUCUCGGUUGAAUCCCUAGUACACAUA